CACACACACACACACACACACACACACACACACACAUAAUGUGCAUGUGUGAGAGUGAAUGCAUGUAUAUUUCCUUUUUACAUUUUACAGUUUGCACUGCGAAACAUUCCCCUCGUCAACUUUUGAGUGAUGGCCCUAACAGUUUCGAACCCUUCCUGUAGGAUAAAUUCCUUCAUCAGUGCCGAGCGUUCUUUUAGUCUUUUAGGCCACAACCCAGUAAACUUUUUGCACCUUCCCUCUAAGUUGCUGUCGUACCAAACCAGUGGAAACUAACCAUUUUAUUACUUUAAUAACUGUUGACGAUUUCUUUCGUCUUUCUGCCACACAUUUCAUCUGUCUCUCUCUCUCUCUCUCUACAUAUAUGUAUAUAUAGCGAGAGAGAGAGAGGAAGAAGAGAAAGUUCGAGUGUGUGUAAACUAAGCUAUCGAAUUAAAGUAACACCAAGUCCAGUCCAAUAACAUUCAAUAUUCCUCAUUGAGAUCCACUGAAAACCAUGAGAAGCUAUAGCCAACAGGAAGUUGAAGCGUUUUAAAUGACAAACCAAUUGGUGAUAUUCUGGCAAGUGAAACAAUUGUCUCCAACUAAUUUUCCAGAUAUGACUGGCGUCUUGGACAUGCGGUACACUAUUUUGGAUGGAAAAAAUGGAGAAAACGCCGGCGGGUGGCCACAGUUAUGCGGCCGCAACUGGAAGAGGAACAGAGGAGGAAAAAUGGAAAAUAGAGAAGAAGAUAGUGAAGAUCAAAGGUUUAAUAAGAGUAAAGUUGGACACAGAGAUGUUUGAGGUAAAUCAAAAAACAGUGCUGGUGGAGGAGAAGGAGAGACUGGAGAAGUUGAUAGAGUUGUUCCCGGAUGAAAUUAUAAAUAGUCAAAUAUGUUCGGUGCGAAAAUCUGCCGAAUGUAAUUGGUUUGGAAGAUGUAACCGAACAAAUAACAGAUGAAGAGAGCAACUGAUAAUAAACUGUAUAAAUAGAACUGUAAAAUGAAGCUGCGAGUUUUGGGGGACUCGUAAGCCAUUUCAUCCUUCCAUUAUGAAUAUUCCAUUUCAUACUCAUCAUUCACUAUAUGUACCCCACGUUUUGUGUUGUCUGUCCUUGUAGUGUCCCUUCAUUGUUAAGGCUACAUGCCUGUAAUAAAGAUUCAUAGUUGAGAAGAGUU